rnacentral:rRNA from 1 species
CGCCUCUUGAAAAAAUAUAAGAGGUCUAGCCUGCCCAGUGACCUAGUUCAACGGCCGCGGUAUCCUAACCGUGCGAAGGUAGCGUAAUCACUUGUUCUUUAAAUGAGGACUAGUAUGAAUGGCAUCACGAGGGUUACACUGUCUCCUUUUUUUAAUCAGUGAAACUAAUCUCCCCGUGAAGAAGCUGGGAUUUAAAUAUAAGACGAGAAGACCCUAUGGAGCUUUAAACUAAUUAACACUUGCUGCAUUUUUCAUUUUUCCAGAACAUCUCUAUUAAGCAUAGCACUAUGAUUUAUAGUUUUAGAUUGGGGUGAUCGCGGAGUAAAAAACAACCUCCACGCCGAAAGGAUCUUUUUUCCUGAGCAAAAAGCUACAACUUUAAGCACUAAAAAAUUAACGUUUAUUGACCCAAUAAUUUUGAUCAACGAACCAAGUUACCCUAGGGAUAACAGCGCAAUCCACUUCAAGAGCUCCUAUCGACAAGUGGGUUUACGACCUCGAUGUUGGAUCAGGGUAUCCCAGUGGUGCAGCCGCUACUAACGGUUCGUUUGUUCAACGAUUAAAACCCUACGUGAUCUGAGU